GAUGUAUUCCUUCCGUCCGGAAAUACUUGUCAUCAAAAUGAAUAAAAGGGGAUGUAUCUAGAUGUAUUUUAGUUCUACAUACAUCCAUUUUUGUCCAUUUUGAUGACAAGUAUUUCCGGACGGAGGGAGUAGUAG
rfam:Triticum aestivum genome assembly, contig: Triticum_aestivum_CS42_TGACv1_scaffold_131722_2BL